CCCAGGCAGAGGCGGCGCACUGGCGGCUUCCCUCUGAGCGCGCCUCCUGGGGUGCGGAGCUAGGAACACCUCCCUCCCUGUCCUAGGCGCCUCCUGGACUUUUCCAUUUGCUUGGAAAGCGCGUUCAAGAAUCACCAUUCAGUGGACUUGACCCACAGGCUGAGUAAGUGAGAUCCCAAAGACUUCCUGAUCUGUGAGAAUCCAAGAAGAUCCCAGGGCUAGGGUCCAAAGGUCAAGUAUGACUGGUGGAUCGUGGUCCCUAGCUUUCCAGUGCCCCCCAAGAGAGCCGGCGCAUGAAGCCUUGGGAAAUCCUGCUUUCGAGUUCAAAGCAAGUAAGCCUCCGGGUCUCUGGGUCCCCAGGCGCAGCCUUGCACACGCCUGAUUUCUGCUCUAAGCCCCGGCGGGGCGGCGUAUGAAGGAGACCAGAGACUACAAAGUCUACGCUCAGCUGUGGGCUCUAGAACCUUCCCUCUACUCUCCCAGAUCACACCCACUGUAAAGCCACGGAGCCUGGUAAGAGGGUUGUUUGGCCCUGUACUUUCUACCACCAGCCCUUGGGAACGUUAUGGGAAUCCGUACUGGGGAGCGAGUCCAGAGACUGUCGGACUUCAAUAGGCAGCUGCUACAGCCCAUAGCGGGCCCAGGGGAACUGCGUGGUCCGUGCACACACAUACUCGGCUUCCCACGUCCUCUGGCCACACCGCUUCGGGGCUAGCCAGUGCCACACACUGCCUUGGUUUGGGCACUAAACGCACCAGUAGCGCGGAAAACUAACAGAAUGACGUGCAUUUGUUUAGAAUUGAACACGGGCUAUAGCGAAAGCAUACCCGCAGCCCUUGGGAAGAGUCCAUUGCUUUUUGAAAAAAACUUACUUUCUGAAAGCUGAUCAAUAUGUAGCCUUCCUGCCGUGGUCCCUAAAUGUCCCCCCCCGGCCCCUCCCCGGGGAGUGGUCAUAAAAUGACCUCAAAGGUCGUGAGGAACGCACAAACAUAACUCUCUAAGCCGGGAUGCCCAUGGGUUGUAUUUCGGGGAUUCAUUGGCUCCCCUUAACUCUCUCUGAACAGCUUUUCAGAGUCUCUGCCGCUGCCGCUGUCAUAUCUUGUAAUGAUUUGGUUAUCGUAAAGAAUGCGAACCGAUUUCUCGCACCGGCAGGAACGCGGAUGAAUUGUGCUGUAGGUAAUUCUCAGAAACCUCGGUCCGCCCCUUUCUGGAGAGCGCCUCCAGGCCGGUGUGCAAAACCGACCAGCGGGGGCGUGACCUGGGGCCCAUUCCCAAUCCUUUAGCCUGACCCGCCUGUGACCCCUGCAGGCCGGACCGUGACAUCUCAGUGAACUCUGCCGAGCCACCCCACCAAGUUCAGCCUGCGCCCGGUUACAAGAUGAGCCAGGCUCACACGCUGGAAAUGGCCACAGGAGAAAAACAAUACUUAAAAAAUAAAUACGAAAUCUAACUGGCCAUCAAGAUCUGCGGG
rnacentral:sRNA from 1 species